GACGAACGCUGGCGGCGUGCUUAACACAUGCAAGUCGAACGGAAAGGCCCUGCUUUUGUGGGGUGCUCGAGUGGCGAACGGGUGAGUAACACGUGAGUAACCUGCCCUUGACUUUGGGAUAAUUUCAGGAAACUGGGGCUAAUACCGGAUAGGAGCUCCUGCUGCAUGGUGGGGGUUGGAAAGUUUCGGCGGUUGGGGAUGGACUCGCGGCUUAUCAGCUUGUUGGUGGGGUAGUGGCCUACCAAGGCUUUGACGGGUAGCCGGCCUGAGAGGGUGACCGGCCACAUUGGGACUGAGAUACGGCCCAGACUCCUACGGGAGACAGCAGUGGGGAAUAUUGCACAAUGGGCGGAAGCCUGAUGCAGCAACGCCGCGUGCGGGAUGACGGCCUUCGGGUUGUAAACCGCUUUCGCCUGUGACGAAGCGUGAGUGACGGUAAUGGGUAAAGAAGCACCGGCUAACUACGUGCCAGCAGCCGCGGUGAUACGUAGGGUGCGAGCGUUGUCCGGAUUUAUUGGGCGUAAAGGGCUCGUAGGUGGUUGAUCGCGUCGGAAGUGUAAUCUUGGGGCUUAACCCUGAGCGUGCUUUCGAUACGGGUUGACUUGAGGAAGGUAGGGGAGAAUGGAAUUCCUGGUGGAGCGGUGGAAUGCGCAGAUAUCAGGAGGAACACCAGUGGCGAAGGCGGUUCUCUGGGCCUUUCCUGACGCUGAGGAGCGAAAGCGUGGGGAGCGAACAGGCUUAGAUACCCUGGUAGUCCACGCUGUAAACGGUGGGUACUAGGUGUGGGGUCCAUUCCACGGGUUCCGUGCCGUAGCUAACGCUUUAAGUACCCCGCCUGGGGAGUACGGCCGCAAGGCUAAAACUCAAAGGAAUUGACGGGGCCCCGCACAAGCGGCGGAGCAUGCGGAUUAAUUCGAUGCAACGCGUAGAACCUUACCUGGGUUUGACAUGGAUCGGGAGCGCUCAGAGAUGGGUGUGCCUCUUUUGGGGUCGGUUCACAGGUGGUGCAUGGCUGUCGUCAGCUCGUGUCGUGAGAUGUUGGGUUAAGUCCCGCAACGAGCGCAACCCUUGUUCACUGUUGCCAGCACGUUAUGGUGGGGACUCAGUGGAGACCGCCGGGGUCAACUCGGAGGAAGGUGGGGAUGACGUCAAGUCAUCAUGCCCCUUAUGUCCAGGGCUUCACGCAUGCUACAAUGGCUGGUACAGAGAGUGGCGAGCCUGUGAGGGUGAGCGAAUCUCGGAAAGCCGGUCUCAGUUCGGAUUGGGGUCUGCAACUCGACCUCAUGAAGUCGGAGUCGCUAGUAAUCGCAGAUCAGCAACGCUGCGGUGAAUACGUUCCCGGGGCU
rnacentral:rRNA from 1 species